rnacentral:rRNA from 1 species
UACGUAGGGGGCAAGCGUUGUCCGGAAUCAUUGGGCGUAAAGCGUGCGUAGGCGGUUCCUCAAGUCCGUUGUGAAAGCCCCGGGCUCAACCUGGGAAUGGCAGUGGAAACUAGGGGACUGGAAUCUGGCAGAGGGGGGUGGAAUGCCGCGUGUAGCAGUGAAAUGCGUAGAGAUGCGGCGGAACACCGAUGGCGAAGGCAGCCCCCUGGGCUGAGAUUGACGCUCAGGCACGAAAGCGUGGGGAGCAAACAGG